rnacentral:lncRNA from 1 species
UUACCGACGUGCUCAUCUGCGCAUAGCCUUGCCGGGCAGAAGCUACGAUCGGACUCAAUAUGCUGCACUCCCAUUUCUCCUCUGGCUUCACGCCAUUCUUUUGAGCCACUCUGGCGACCAGGUAGGUGUUGAUCCGUCUCUGGGCUGGCUUGAGCUCCAGAGAGCUCUUCAGCCUCUUGCCUGUCACGUUGCUCAAGUAUAUCGAGCUCCUCGGGUUCCAGUUUGCUCCUUUGAAUCGCUGUUAGCAGUGCUACUACCUCCUCCGCGGUCUCUUCGCUUACCAAGUUCCUGCGAGACACUACCUUUUACAACAAAGUCAAAGAAGCGCCACACAAAUACAGGAAUAUAGUUUGUACCUCUGGCCACUUCCGUGUGUAUCGUUUUGUAACAUCAUAAACUCCAUCUUUCGCAACGGCAAUGACGUAGUUCAGCUUCUUUCCCCAUCUUGACGCAAGUCCGGUGUUAGCGUGAGAAAAAGAAAUGUCACAUAGUACCCUUUCUCGUAAAGAAGCGGAGUAUCAUACGAGGCCUCACACGGAUCCAAGUGCACCCAUCUGCACAAGCACUUCAAGAGCUUUAUAAGAGGUCGGGAGAGCAUACCUUCCGAGAUAAGGAGAAUGGAACUCUGUCCAGACGUGAUCCGUGAAGUCAAGGACCUGCACAAAAGCAAGAGUUACAAGCAUGAACCAACAGAUUCUAUGACCACGGCGUUACCAGACGAGCAUUGUAGCCUAGCGCAACGCAGUAGAACGUAAAACAAUUGGCCCAUUCUCCACAGCGACCGCAUUGUGUCUCCAUGAGCUUCAUUUGACAAUAGAAAGUUCAUACUAUAAAUAAAAUCAGUGGCAGCAUUCAAGCGAGUGGAACCAGUCAACUUUACCUUCGCGGGACUGUUGUAGCGUGGAAAUCGAGUGACUGUUCCACAAAGCUCGCAACUGCAGGGUGAGGAGUUAAAACGUUUGUAGAUGCUCGAAACUUUCAGCUGGAAACACCUGUGAAUCUCUACACGGCUGGCUCCAAAUUGGAGAUCCUCGGCACUUGGUCCUCCCAUGCCUAUGUGAUGCGUGUUGGAUGCACAGAAAUCAAACGAGGUUGAAUUCACCCACCUGCAAAUCCAGAGCUCUUUCAGAAAAAAAGAAAUUUGGGAAAGAAGAGCCAGCAAACGAACUAACUUGAAAGAUGUCUUGAACCAGUGGAGCAACUGCCGCUUGUUUCUUCCUCUUCCUUGAUUUUCUUUGUUCUUCUCAAGGAAGGAAGAUCCAGCCAACCAAAGAAGAAGAGAACCAUUUUUUUCUCCCUCGAGCUCGCUCAUCCCGACGUCCUGGGAGUUCACGAGCUCCACAUAUGGUCCGUGACCACCGGCAAAGUUUUGCUGUCGUGCCAUGUCGCUGUGAAGCACGAUGCCGAUGGCGACUUGGUUCUCCAGAGAGUGGUCGAGUACUGCGACCGGGAGCUCAAGAUAAGUCAUGUCACGGUGCAAAUUGAGAGAAUGGAUGUGGAUCAUGUGUAGAGAAAUCUCCUUUUUUUCGCUUUUUCUUAAGCGAUAUGACACAGAGUUGGGGAGUAAGAAAUGCAAGACUACUAAGUAGCCAAGAUUUAUAUGAUGUUAAUUAAAUUGUGCUGGGUACAAAACCCUCUUUAGAAUAGCAUUUUAUAUUAAUCUUGACGGUUGUACUAGCAUAUUCUUGAAACCAUUGCGCUAAACAAAACAUAUAAUAAUUUUUACCGAACAUGGCCAUACCAUACAUGGCUAUUCCAUACAAGGAAAUCUAUUCCUAAUUAUAAAACCGGAGAAUACCACAAUCGUAAAAGUAAGAUAGAAGUUCUAGUUGAGAGAUGGAAGCAUUCAGGGUUCUUGUCAUUGUUUUGGUUGCAUGCAUCUCGAUAUCCCAAGCUGCUAGCACGAAUCCUCCUGUACAAGGCCUGUUUGUUUUUGGGGACUCAGCGUUAGAUGGAGGACAGAACACGUACAUCCCGGGCUCCAAGAUUGUUAGCGCAAUUCCGCCGUAUGGAAAGACUUACUUCAGCAAGCCAACAGGGCGUUGGACGGAUGGUAGAACGAUUGCUGAUUUCCUGGCUCAAGCACUAGGCCUUCCAUUGUUGCCACCUUUUCUCGAGCCUGGUGCCAACUUUUCCAAUGGGGUGAACUUUGCAUCUGCUGGUGCAGGCUUGUUAGAUGAAACGAAUGCCCAUCAAGUACGUAUACUCCCAUAUUCCCCUCAGAAAUAGUUGAUUUUGAUUCAUUCUUUUUGGGUUUUAUCAGGGAGUUAUUUCAAUGAAGCAGCAGCUGCGCCAGUUUCGCAACGUCACAAAUGAGUACAAAAAAGAGAAGGGUGUGGAGUUUACGAACCAGCUCUUGCGCAAUUCAGUGGCAUUGUUUAGCAUGGGAGCUAAUGAUAUUGCUAAUGCUGUUCCCAGCUCAUUCUUGUUCCAGGAGAUGAUACAAACAUAUUCAAGUGCUAUUCAGGUACUCGAGUAUUACAUUCACUAACUUCAAAACCUUUGGAUGUCUCUUUUGAUUUAUAGGAAAUUUACAAUUAUGGCAUUAAGCAUAUCAUAAUUCUGCUAGCACCACCGAUUGGGUGUACUCCUAACUUGAGAGCGGUAUCAGCACAAAGCAGGAAUACCAAUUUAACUCCAGAGGGCUGCAUAGGAAUCAUUAACACUCUUGUGGAUUCAUAUAACACUAAACUCUUGAAUCUUGCUGUGAAGUUACACAAUGACUAUCGUGACUUGAACAUUGCAACAUUAAAUCCAUCUCCAAUUAUACUGAACGUGCUAAGGAAUCCUCAGAAAUACGGUAAGAAACACAAAUUAUCUCUCCAUUCAUAUUCAUAUUAAUAUUUGUGUGUGUCCGUCUAGGUUUCAAAGAAGCAGAAAAGGCAUGUUGUGGUGGUGGGCCAUUUAAUGCAGCAGAAUUUUGUGGGGACGCUGAUAAACAUGAUUGGAAGCCAGAUCACAAAAAUAAAUACACUAAGUUCAUCUGCAACAAUCCUAAAGAUUACUUAUACUUUGAUAGCAACCAUUUCACUGAAGCUGGUUAUUGGUUUGUGAUGAAGAAUUUUUGGCAUGGAUCUUACAAUAUUGCAAGACCUAGCAACCUCAACUUCUUUUUUCAGGGGUUUAACAUUCCAAACCCACCCCCAACGCCUUAAAAGUUUGUAUUUUAUUUCAUAUAAAACAUUUCUUCUAGACCACAUGUAUCAAUGUUAUUAAUGUUUUCUAGAUUAGUGUUUUCUAGGCCUUAACAUGAUCAUGCAGUGGAAGGUUGAAAGGAUUUUUAAACCAAUCUUUUAGAUUAAGAAAAAGAACAAAGCUGAGGCACUGGAUUAAGGUUAGUCCGACGGGGCUUUGAAUCCCACUCUCAACACUAGUUCGUGAUGAUAAAUAGUUUUGAUCGUCAAAGUCUACGUUUUUUGUAGGCAAUGGUAGGUAAAACAAAUGCUGUUGUUAAUUGUGAAUGUAAAAGCCUAUGGAGGAAAGCUGGAGCCUCGACGUUUUUACGUCUCUCUUACGGCUGCGAAUUGGAGCCUGCGUCAAUGAGAGAAUUUGAGGGUAAACACGCAUGAAACCUGGUUUUACCUUAGAACGCUGCAAGGAAACUGGGACUCUUUGGCAACUAUAAAGCAUCGUCUCUCGUAGCGCUCUUGAAAUAGCUCUCCACUUCGCUUGUCAAGGAGUUGCCAGGUCUUACCCCCCAUCGCAGCUUCCCUCGAGCAUCCUGGAAAAGCAAUCAAAAGGAAAAACUCUGAUCCAUAACAAUGGCAAUUGAUUAACAUUACCAGUCCAAAGGAUCUCUCUUGGGGCAGUCGUUUGCGGAUGUUAAGUCGUAUCCAACAAUGUGUUGAGACGUGUUACCAUGCAAAUGGUAAACAAGAGUUGCGCCUACAAGCACACCUGUUUCAAUUCUAGAUACGAAAAAAAUAAAAAACUUCGCCAACCUUUUGCUCCUUCUGGUUCUUCCCAUUUUGUGGAGUAGUGGCCGUCAAAAGCUGUGCUAGCCUGCAAACGAUAAACUUCAUUUUAAGUGAAGGAAAGAACCAAGGGAAACGAGAAAACAUACUGUUCUAGAGGGCAUCUAUUUGCCAGUGGCAUAAACUUUUAUUGUUUUGGAGUUUGCAUUUUUCCCGUGAUCCUAACUAUAGUUAUUUACCACAACUACAUUAGCUCGUUUGUUACAUCAAACACUCAUCUGGAUCACAUCCUCAACUCUCUGAGGAAACCCUCCACUCCAAAGCCUCCUUCCUUGUAACAUCAGCUGCAGCGAACUCAUGUCCUGGGAUGCGAGCUUCUUCGCGACUUUCUCGACGUUCUCAAGAGCUGUGGCAAGAGCCAGAGCAGCCUUUCCUGGAGGUUCCUUGAGAGUAACUUGCAUUCCCCCACUUCCAUCGCUCGCUUGCUUCAUUCCAAUGCCAUCCAGCCAUGCCGCACUGCCUUUGCUUUGCAGGAAGUUCAGCUGAGUUUCGUCUGUGGAUUCCAUCUUUGCACUUCUCGCUCUGAAUGACUGCCUCUUAAGCUUGAUCAAUAAGUCGUGGAGAAGUGCCAGCUCUUUUUCUGCCGCACUUCUUUCUUGAGAGCAUAACAGCCCGAUUGCUUGGUAGAUUUUACCGACGUGCUCAUCUGCGCAUAGCCUUGCCGAGCAGAAGCUACGAUCGGACUCAAUAUGCUGGACUCCCAUUUCUCCUCUGGCUUCACGCCAUUCUUUUGACCCACUCUGGCGACCAGGUAGGUGUUGAUCCGUCUCUGGGCUGGCUUGAGCUCCAGAGAGCUCUUCAGCCUCUUGCCUGUCACGUUGCUCAAGUAUAUCGAGCUCCUCAGGUUCCAGUUUGCUCCUUUGAAUCGCUGUUAGCAGUGCUACUACCUCCUCCGCGGUCUCUUCGCUUACCAAGUUCCUGCGAGACACUACCUUUUACAACAAAGUCAAAGAAGCGCCACACAAAUACAGGAAUAUAGUUCGUACCUCUGGCCACUUCCGUGUGUAUCGUUUUGUAACAUCAUAAACUCCAUCUUUCGCAACGGCAAUGACGUAGUUCAGCUUCUUUCCCCAUCUUGACGCAAGUGCGUGAGAAAAAGAACUGUCACAUAGUACCCUUUCUCGUAAAGAAGCGGAGUAUCAUACGAGGCCUCACACGGAUCCAAGUGCACCCAUCUGGACAAGCACUUCAAGAGCUUUAUAAGAGGUCGGGAGAACAUACCUUCCGAGAUAAGGAGAAUGGAACUCUGUCCAGACGUGAUCCGUGAAGUCAAGGACCUGCACAAAAGCAAGAGUUACAAGCAUGAACCAACAGAUUCUAUGACCACGGCGUUACCAGACGAGCAUUGUAGCCUAGCGCAACGCAGUAGAAUGUAAAACAAUUGGCCCAUUCUCCACAGCGACCGCAUUGUGUCUCCAUGAGCUUCAUUUGACAAGAGAAAGUUCAUACUAUAAAAUCAAUGGCAGCAUUCAAGCGAGUGGAACCAGUCAACUUUACCUUCGCCGGACUGUUGUAGCGUGGAAAUCGAGUGACUGUUCCACAAAGCUCGCAACUGCAGGGUGAGGAGUUAAAACGUUUGUAGAUGCUCGAAACUUUCAGCUGGAAACACCUGUGAAUCUCUACACGGCUGGCUCCAAAUUGGAGAUCCUCGGCACUUGGUUCUCCCAUGCCUAUGUGAUGCGUGUUGGAUGCACAGAAAUCAAACGAGGUUGAAUUCACCCACCUGCAAAUCCAGAGCUCUUUCAGGAAAAAAGAAAUUUGGGAAAGAAGAGCCAGCAAACGAACUAACUUGAAAGAUGUCUUGAACCAGUGGAGCAACUGCCGCUUGUUUCUUCCUCUUCCUUGAUUUUCUUUGUUCUUCUCAAGGAAGGAAGAUCCAGCCAACCAAAGAAGAAGAGAACCAUUUUUUUCUCGCUCGAGCUCGCUCAUCCCGACGUCCUGGGAGUUCACGAGCUCCACAUAUGGUCCGUGACCACCGGCAAAGUUUUGCUGUCGUGCCAUGUCGCUGUGAAGCACGAUGCCGAUGGCGACUUGGUUCUCCAGAGAGUGGUCGAGUACUGCGACCGGGAGCUCAAGAUAAGUCAUGUCACGGUGCAAAUUGAGAGAAUGGAUGUGGAUCAUGUGUAGAGAAAUCUCCUUUUUUUUUGGCUUUUUCUUGAGCGAUAUGACAAGCAAGACUGCCAGUUAAUUUGGAUUGUGCUGGUUAAGGUGGUUAUAAUAAGCGUUGAUUGGGUUAUCGGUUGUCUUUACCCUCUUUAGAAUAGCAUUUUAUAUUAAUCUUGACGGUUGUACUAGCAUAUUCUUGAAACCAUUGCGCUAAACAAAACAUAUAAUAAUUUUUACCGAACAUGGCCAUACCAUACAUGGCUAUUCCAUACAAGGAAAUCUAUUCCAUAUAAAACCGGAGAAUACCACAAUCGUAAAAGUAAGAUAGAAGUUCUAGUUGAGAGAUGGAACCAUUCAAGGUUCUUGUCAUUGUUUUGGUUGCAUGCAUCUCGAUAUCCCAAGCUGCUAGCACGAAUCCUCCAGUACAAGGCCUGUUUGUUUUUGGGGACUCAGCGUUAGAUGGAGGACAGAACACGUACAUCCCGGGCUCCAAGAUUGUUAGCGCAAUUCCGCCGUAUGGAAAGACUUACUUCAGCAAGCCAACAGGGCGUUGGACGGAUGGUAGAACGAUUGCUGAUUUCCUGGCUCAAGCACUAGGCCUUCCAUUGUUGCCACCUUUUCUCGAGCCUGGCGCCAACUUUUCCAGUGGGGUGAACUUUGCAUCUGCUGGUGCAGGCUUGUUAGAUGAAACGAAUGCCCAUCAAGUACGUAUACUCCCAUAUUCCCCUCAGAAAUAGUUGAUUUUGAUUCAUUCUUUUUGGGUUUUAUCAGGGAGUUAUUUCAAUGAAGCAGCAGCUGCGCCAGUUUCACAACGUCACAAAUGAGUACAAAAAAGAGAAGGGUGUGGAGUUUACGAACCAGCUCUUGCGCAAUUCAGUGGCAUUGUUUAGCAUGGGAGCUAAUGAUAUUGCUAAUGCUGUUCCCAGCUCAUUCUUGUUCCAGGAGAUGAUACAAGCAUAUUCAAGUGCUAUUCAGGUACUCGAGUAUUACAUUCACUAACUUCAAAACCUUUGGAUGUCUCUUUUGAUUUAUAGGAAAUUUACAAUUAUGGCAUUAAGCAUAUCAUAAUUCUGCUAGCACCACCGAUUGGGUGUACUCCUAACUUGAGAGCGGUAUCAGCACAAAGCAGGAAUACCAAUUUAACUCCAGAGGGCUGCAUAGGAAUCAUUAACACUCUUGUGGAUUCAUAUAACACUAAACUCUUGAAUCUUGCUGUGAAGUUACACAAUGACUAUCGUGACUUGAACAUUGCAACAUUAAAUCCAUCUCCAAUUAUACUGAACGUGCUAAGGAAUCCUCAGAAAUACGGUAAGAAACACAAAUUAUCUCUCCAUUCAUAUUCAUAUUAAUAUUUGUGUGUGCCACAUCUAGGUUUCAAAGAAGCAGAAAAGGCAUGUUGUGGUGGUGGGCCAUUUAAUGCAGCAGAAUUUUGUGGGGACGCUGAUAAACAUGAUUGGAAGCCAAAUCACAAAAAUAAAUACACUAAGUUCGUAUGCAACAAUCCUAAAGAUUACUUAUACUUUGAUAGCAACCAUUUCACUGAAGCUGGUUAUUGGUUUGUGAUGAAGAAUUUUUGGCAUGGAUCUUACAAUAUUGCAAGACCUAGCAACCUCAACUUCUUUUUUCAGGGGUUUAACAUUCCAAACCCACCCCCAAUGCCUUAAAAGUUUGUAAUUUUUUUCUUGAAGUUUACCAUCAAUGUUGUUAAUGUUUUCUAGAUUAGUGCUUUCUAGGCCUUAACAUUAACAACCUCAUGAGGAUUUUUAAGUCAAUCUUUUAGAUUAAGAAAAAGAACAAAGCUGAGGCACUGGAUUAAGGUUUUAGUCCGAUGGGGCUUCGAAUCCCACUCUCAACACUAGUUCGUGAUGAUAAAUCGUUUUGAUCGUCAAAGUCUACGUUUUUUCUAGGCAAUGGUAGGUAAAACAAAUGCUGUUGUUAAUUGUGAAUGUAAAAGCUCAUGGAGGAAAGCUGGAGCCUCGACGUUUUUACAGUCUCUCUUACGGCUGCGAAUUGGAGCCUGCGUCAAUGAGAGAAUUUGAGGGUAAACACGCAUGAAACCUGGUUUUACCUAAGAACACUGCAAGGAAACUGGGACUCUUUGGCAACUAUAAAGCAUCGUCUCUCGUAGCAUUCUUGAAAUAGCUCUCCACUUCGCUUGUCAAGGAGUUGCCAGGUCUUACCCCCAUCGCAGCUUCCCUCGAGCAUCCUGUAAAAGCAAUCAAAAGGAACAACUCUGAUCCAUAACAAUGGCAAUUGAUUCACGUUACCAGUCCAAAGGAUCUCUCUCGGGGCAGUCGUUUGCGGAUGUUAAGUCGUAUCCAACAAUGUGUUGAGAUGCGUUACCAUGCAAAUGGUAAACAAGAGUCGCGCCUACAAGCACACCUGUUUCAAUUCUAGAUACGAAAAAAAUAAAAAACUUCGCCAACCUUUUGCUCCUUCUGGUUCUUCCCAUUUUGUGGAGUAGUGGCCUUCAAAAGCUGCGCUAGCCUGCAAACGAUAAACUUCGUUUUAAGCGAAGGAAAGAACCAAGGGAAACGAGAAAACAUACCGUUCCAGAGGGCUUCUGUUCGCCGGUGGCAUAAACCGAGCCACCGCAAAGCCUCCUUCCUUGUAACAUCAGCUGCAGGGUGGGAUGCGAGCUUCUUCGUGGCUUUCUCGACGUUCUCAAGAGCUGUGGCAAGAGCCAGAGCAGCCUUUCCUGGACGUUCCUUUGCAUUCCCCCACUUCCAUCGCUCGCUUGCUUCAUUCCAAUGCCAUCCAGCCAUGCCGCACCACCUUUGCUUUGCAGGAAGUUCAGUUGAGUUUCGUCUGUGGAUUCCAGCUUCGCACUUCUCGCUCUGAAUGGCUGCCUCUUAAGCUUGAUCAAUAAGUCGUGGAGAAGUGCCUGCUCUUUUUCAGCCGUGCUUCUUUCUUGAGAGCAUAACAGCCCGAUUGCUUGGUAGAUUUUACCGACGUGCUCAUCUGCGCAUAGCCUUGCCGGGCAGAAGCUAUGAUCGGACUCAAUAUGCUGUACUCCCAUUUCUCCUCUGGCUUCACGCCAUUCUUUUGAGCCACUCUGGCGACCAGGUAGGUGUUGAUCCGUCUCUGGGCUGGCUUGAGCUCCAGAGAGCUCUUCAGCCUCUUGCCUGUCACGUUGCUCAAGUAUAUCGAGCUCCUCGGGUUCCAGUUUGCUCCUUUGAAUCGCUGUUAGCAGUGCUACUACCUC